CAAGUAACCUGAAAUCUUGGGGCUUUAUUACCAAAAAGCACAAGGCUACAAGGGAGCUGAAAAUAUGAUAGUUCUGGGAGAAACAGCGUUUAGGAUCCACAGCAGCUCUAGAGAACAGGGCUCCCCUUUUAGAUGCAGUGAGACAGGACAAGGACUGUCCUGUUAUCACACAGAGAACCGGAAGAGCUGUCCUGGCAGUGCUGGGGAGUGCUGUAUUGGAGCCUGAAGGAAAAGGAAAAUGUGGGUAAUACUGAUCUUGUCUUCACUGAAAAUUUUCAUACUUUUUUUCAUUAUGAAUAUUUUUGCAUUAAUUUUGACUUUUAAAAAUAUUGCACUGGCCAGAGGUGGUGGCUCAGGCCUGUAAUCCCAACACUUUGGGAGACUGAGGCAGGUGGAUCACCUGAGGUCAGGAGUUCAAGACCAUCCUGGCCAACGUGGCAAAACCCCGUCUCUACUAAAAAUAGAAAAAUUAGCCCUGUGUGGUUGCAGGUGCUGUAAUCUCAUACUCAGGAGGCUGUGGCAGGAGAAUUACUUGAACUGGGAGGCAGAGGUUGCAGUGAGCCAAGAUCGCGCCACUGCACACCAGCCUGAGUGAUAGAAUGAGAAUAUGUCUCAAAAAAUAUAUAUAUACACAUACAC
rnacentral:lncRNA from 1 species